UAGCUAGUUGGUAGGGUAAAGGCCUACCAAGGCGACGAUCGGUAGCUGGUCUGAGAGGAUGACCAGCCACACUGGAACUGAGACACGGUCCAGACUCCUACGGGAGGCAGCAGUGGGGAAUAUUGGACAAUGGGGGGAACCCUGAUCCAGCAAUGCCGCGUGUGUGAAGAAGGCCUGAGGGUUGUAAAGCACUUUCAGUGGGGAGGAGGAUUGAUUGUUUAAGAGAUGAUUAAUUGGACGUUACCCACAGAAGAAGCACCGGCUAACUCCGUGCCAGCAGCCGCGGUAAUACGGAGGGUGCGAGCGUUAAUCGGAAUUACUGGGCGUAAAGGGUGCGUAGGUGGUUAAAUAAGUUAUGUGUAAAAUCCCUGGGCUCAACCUGGGCAGGUCAGAUAAUACUGUUUAACUCGAGUAUGGGAGAGGGUAGUGGAAUUUCCGGUGUAGCGGUGAAAUGCGUAGAGAUCGGAAGGAACACCAGUGGCGAAGGCGGCUACCUGGCCUAAUACUGACACUGAGGCACGAAAGCGUGGGGAGCAAACAGGAUUAGAUACCCUGGUAGUCCACGCUGUAAACGAUGUCAACUAGCUGUUGGAUAUAUGAAUAUAUUUAGUGGCGC
rnacentral:rRNA from 1 species